rnacentral:rRNA from 1 species
AUGAACACAUCCACUUUGGACAUGAGUUCUUCGUCAUCUUCAUCUGGCGACGAUGAACUCAUACUUGCAGCAUUCGCCGAGCGCGAGGAGGAAGAGAGGAUGAACGCUCGACGCCAUGGCGGUUCCAAGCAUGGACGUCAAACAAUCAAUCGAGGAAGAGAUGCCGGAUUUGUUCUUCUGUGGGACGACUACUUCAAAGAAGUUCCUCGCUAUCCCGAACAUUUGUUUCGACGAAGAUUUAGGAUGUCCCGUAAUUUGUUCAAACACGUAGCCGAUGGUAUACUUGAGCAUGAUUAUGAUGGUUAUUUUACUUAA